GAUGAACGCUAGCGGGAGGCUUAAUACAUGCAAGUCGAGCGAGAAGGUGUAGCAAUACACUUGUAAAGCGGCGAACGGGUGAGGAAUACAUGGGUAAUCUACCAUCGAGUGGGGAAUAACCAACCGAAAGGUUGGCUAAUACCGCGUACGCCUCCGAAUCUUCGGGUUCGGAGGGAAAGCUGCACUGUGAGUGUAGCGCUCUUUGAUGAGCUCAUGUCCUAUCAGCUUGUUGGUAGGGUAACGGCCUACCAAGGCUUUGACGGGUAGCUGGUCUGAGAGGACGAUCAGCCACACUGGAACUGAGACACGGUCCAGACUCCUACGGGAGGCAGCAGUGGGGAAUUUUGGACAAUGGGGGCAACCCUGAUCCAGCCAUUCCGCGUGAGUGAAGAAGGCC
rnacentral:rRNA from 1 species